rfam:Ictidomys tridecemlineatus contig005921, whole genome shotgun sequence.
GUGGUUGUAGCUCAGUGGUAGAGCACUUGCCUCUCAUGUAUGAGACACUGGAUUUGAUCCUCAGCAUCACA